rnacentral:rRNA from 1 species
UAGGGAAUCUUCCACAAUGGGCGAAAGCCUGAUGGAGCAACGCCGCGUGUGUGAUGAAGGGUUUCGGCUCGUAAAACACUGUUGUAAGAGAAGAAUGACAUUGAGAGUAACUGUUCAAUGUGUGACGGUAUCUUACCAGAAAGGAACGGCUAAAUACGUGCCAGCAGCCGCGGUAAUACGUAUGUUCCAAGCGUUAUCCGGAUUUAUUGGGCGUAAAGCGAGCGCAGACGGUUAUUUAAGUCUGAAGUGAAAGCCCUCAGCUCAACUGAGGAAUUGCUUUGGAAACUGGAUGACUUGAGUGCAGUAGAGGAAAGUGGAACUCCAUGUGUAGCGGUGUAAUGCGUAGAUAUAUGGAAGAACACCAGUGGCGAAGGCGGCUUUCUGGACUGUAACUGACGUUGAGGCUCGAAAGUGUGGGUAGCAAACAGG